GACGAACUUUGGCGGCGUGCUUAACACAUGCAAGUCGAACGGAAAGGCCCUGCUUUUGUGGGGUGCUCGAGUGGCGAACGGGUGAGUAACACGUGAGUAACCUGCCCUUGACUUUGGGAUAACUUCAGGAAACUGGGGCUAAUACCGGAUAGGAGCUCCUGCUGCAUGGUGGGGGUUGGAAAGUUUCGGCGGUUGGGGAUGGACUCGCGGCUUAUCAGCUUGUUGGUGGGGUAGUGGCUUACCAAGGCUUUGACGGGUAGCCGGCCUGAGAGGGUGACCGGCCACAUUGGGACUGAGAUACGGCCCAGACUCCUACGGGAGGCAGCAGUGGGGAAUAUUGCACAAUGGGCGGAAGCCUGAUGCAGCAACGCCGCGUGCGGGAUGACGGCCUUCGGGUUGUAAACCGCUUUCGCCUGUGACGAAGCGUGAGUGACGGUAAUGGGUAAAGAAGCACCGGCUAACUACGUGCCAGCAGCCGCGGUGAUACGUAGGGUGCGAGCGUUGUCCGGAUUUAUUGGGCGUAAAGGGCUCGUAGGUGGUUGAUCGCGUCGGAAGUGUAAUCUUGGGGCUUAACCCUGAGCGUGCUUUCGAUACGGGUUGACUUGAGGAAGGUAGGGGAGAAUGGAAUUCCUGGUGGAGCGGUGGAAUGCGCAGAUAUCAGGAGGAACACCAGUGGCGAAGGCGGUUCUCUGGGCCUUUCCUGACGCUGAGGAGCGAAAGCGUGGGGAGCGAACAGGCUUAGAUACCCUGGUAGUCCACGCUGUAAACGGUGGGUACUAGGUGUGGGGUCCAUUCCACGGGUUCCGUGCCGUAGCUAACGCUUUAAGUACCCCGCCUGGGGAGUACGGCCGCAAGGGCUAAAACUCAAAGGAAUUGACGGGGCCCCGCACAAGCGGCGGAGCAUGCGGAUUAAUUCGAUGCAACGCGUAGAACCUUACCUGGGUUUGACAUGGAUCGGGAGUGCUCAGAGAUGGGUGUGCCUCUUUUGGGGUCGGUUCACAGGUGGUGCAUGCCUGUCGUCAGCUCGUGUCGUGAGAUGUUGGGUUAAGUCCCGCAACGAGCGCAACCCUUGUUCACUGUUGCCAGCACGUUAUGGUGGGGACUCAGUAGAGACCGCCGGGGUCAACUCGGAGGAAGGUGGGGAUGACGUCAAGUCAUCAUGCCCCUUAUGUCCAGGGCUUCACGCAUGCUACAAUGGCUGGUACAGAGAGUGGCGAGCCUGUGAGGGUGAGCGAAUCUCGGAAAGCCGGUCUCAGUUCGGAUUGGGGUCUGCAACUCGACCUCGUGAAGUCGGAGUCGCUAGUAAUCGCAGAUCAGCAGCGCUGCGGUGAAUACGUUCCCGGGGCU
rnacentral:rRNA from 1 species